AUUGAACGCUGGCGGCAGGCUUAACACAUGCAAGUCGAGCGGUAACAGAGAGAAGCUUGCUUCUCUGCUGACGAGCGGCGGACGGGUGAGUAAUGCCUAGGAAUCUGCCUAGUAGUGGGGGAUAACUUGCCGAAAGGUAAGCUAAUACCGCAUACGUCCUACGGGAGAAAGGAGGGGACCUUCGGGCCUUUCGCUAUUAGAUGAGCCUAGGUCGGAUUCGUUAGUUGGUGAGGUAAUGGCUCACCAAGACCGCGAUCCGUAACUGGUCUGAGAGAGUGGAGGGACAAACUGGAAAUGAGACACGGUACAGAGUCCUACGGGAGGCAGCAGUAGGGAAUCGUCAGAAAUGGGAGAAAGCAUGACGGAGCAACGAAGCGUGAGUGAUGAAGGUAUUAGGAAAGUAAAACUCUGUUAGGAGGGAAGAAAAAAUGUGUAAGGAAAUAUGCACGUCUUGACGGUACCUAAUAAGAAAGACACGGCUAACUACGUG
rnacentral:rRNA from 1 species